GACGAACGCUGGCGGCGUGCUUAACACAUGCAAGUCGAACGGACAGGCUCUGCUUUUGUGUGCUGCUCGAGUGGCGAAGGGUUGAGUACGACGUGAGUAACCUGCCCUUGCCUUCCGGAUAACUUCAGGAAACUAGGGCUAAUACCGGAUAGGAGCUCCUGAUGCAUGUUGGUGGAUGGAAAGUUUCGGCGGUCGGGGAUGGACCCGCGGCUUAUCAGCUUGUGGGUGGGGUAGUGGCUUAGCAAGGCUAUGACGAGUAGCCGGCCUGAGAGGGUGACCGGCCACAGUGGGACUGAGAUAGGGCCAAGACUCAUACGGGAGGCAGCGGUGGGAGUUAUGACACGAUGGGCGGAGGCCUGAUGCAGCAACGCCGCGUGCGGGAGAACGGCCUUCGGGUUGGAAAGCGCAUUCGCCUGGGACGAAGAGAGAGUGACGGUAAUGGAUAAAGAAGGACCGGCUAACUACGUG
rnacentral:rRNA from 1 species